CGUUCCCGUAAGAUCACCGAAGUUAAGCAACGUCGAUCCUGGUCAGUACUUAGAUGGGUGACUGCUUGGGAAUACCAGGUGCUGCAAU